rnacentral:rRNA from 1 species
GUUAGGAAUAUUGGACAAUGGGCGAAAGCCUGAUCCAGCCAUGCCGCGUGAACGAUGAAGGCCUUCGGGUUGUAAAGUUCUUUAGCCGAUGAUUAUAAUGACUGUAGUUGGAAAAUAAGCCCCGGCUAACUUCGUGCCAGCAGCCGCGGUAAUACGAAGGGGGCGAGCGUUAUUCGGAAUCACUGGGCGUAAAGCGUGCGUAGGCGGUUUUGUAAGUUAGGAGUGAAAGCCAAGGGCUCAACCUUGGAAUUGCUCUUAAAACUGCAAGGCUAGAAUCUCGGAGAGGAUAGCGGAAUUUCCAGUGUAGCAGUGAAAUGCGUAGAUAUUGGAAGGAACACCAGUGGCGUAAGCGGCUAUCUGGACGAGUAUUGACGCUGAGGCACGAAAGCGUGGGGAUCAAACAGGAUUAGAAACCCUGGUAGUCC